AGACAGAAUUGCUUGAACCUGGGAGAGAGAGGUUGCAGUGAACCGAGAUUGCACCACUGCACUCCAGACUGGGCGACAGAG
rnacentral:snRNA from 1 species